rnacentral:sRNA from 1 species
AAUCGAGUAUCACGCCGAAGACAGCAGGUGCCGGAAGGCAUAAGGCUUGUACGCCUGCCGAGGAAAAUACGUUCUUGAAGAAAGAAUCAGUUCCUCUUUGCGCGCGCAGAGAGGUUUUUUUCAUA